CUUUAAACCAAACAAAGGCCCAAAACUCCCACAUUCCUCACGCCUCUUUCCUUCUUCUCUCUUCUCCAUCUCUCUUUUCUUUCUCUCUCUCUAUUCAACCAAAAUCGACGGAAGAUCCGUGCCCUCCAGCCCGUCGCCUUCCCCGAUUUACUCCACGCCGUUCAAACCAGCGCCACCUUCGGUGGCUGGUUCACUUCCUCGCCAAAACAGCACCGUCAUCGGCUGCCCGAAGUCAGCCGCUGUGCUGCUCCGAUUCGCCACCGCCACCGCCACCGCGGAGUCACCGAGAGCGCUGCCGCUGCUGUUGGAGUCGCCGGGGCGCUGCUGUCCGCCGCUGGAGUCACCGGGAGUACUGCUGACCGCCGCUGGAGACGUCGGCGCUGCUGUCCGCCGCUGCCCGUCGCCGACGGCGGCUUCUCCUUCUCCGAAAUCACUCCGAAUGACCCCGAAUCAACCCGCAACACGCAUUCACAUUAAAAAGCAUUGAUGGGGAAGAUAGAAGGUGGAGAGGUGGAAAUUUUGGAGGGUCUCCUUGUGAAGAAGUCGUCGACCAUAUUGUGAGGAAGAAGAAGAAGAAGGCUUUUGGGCUUGCUCCCAAUUGUUUGGAAAGAAGAAUGGGCUACUUAAUUAUUUUAAUGUUCUUGGGCUCAAUUUAAUUGGAAGCCCAAGAUUGGAUAUAAUACUAUUAUUUGGUGGAUUAAAAGAAUAAUUAGGAUCCAAAUUAUUUUGUAGUUAAUUGGACUCUAAUUUAUUUUGAAAAGCCCAAAAUAAAUUCGUACUUUAUUUUUCGUAUUUUCCUUCGUUAAUUAUU